UAUUCAGAUUUGCAAGUGUAUUGAAAUUUGUAAAUACAAAGACAAAUCUGUCGAUACAUACAUAGAUCUGUGUAUGUGUAGACACAUCUGUAAAUGUGUACAGAAAUCUGUGAAUAUAAAGACAAAUCUGUAAAUUCGUACAUAGAUCUGCGAAUGCAUAGACAUAUCUUUAAAUGUGUAGACAAAUCAGUAAAUGCGUACAUAGAUCUGUGAAUACAUAGUUAAAAAUAUGCAAAUG